AAACUAAGGUCUUUGACCCCAAAUCCUGUGCUCUUUCCUUAAGAAGACUGAUGGAAGAGAAGGAAGGAAACGAGGCUGGAAGGCAAGAAAGACACCUCCAUGUGGCCGGGCAAUGCCUCUCCGUCCCGCCUCCGCCAACAGUUGCAUUUCCAAUUCCUCAGACUCAAUUUGGGCUUAUCUACUUUGCACAUCAACAGCUAGUCUAAGAACUAUGGCUGGAGAGAGCAGGCUGGCUCUGGAUUUUAUCCCUCCUUGAAUUUGUUGAUGAAAGUAGAAGCCUGAAUAGCGGUAUCGUUCCCGUCGCUGGUUUCCAUGAAGAUGGGGCAGCAUAAAUUCAAUAACUGUUCAGAAUAUUAAUUUAAGCUUCAGCCUGACAGCCAAUGAUCACUGGAACAUACAGUACUGACCCAGCUGCUCA
rnacentral:lncRNA from 1 species